rnacentral:lncRNA from 1 species
AGGGUUUGUGUUAGAGCAGAAUUCUCUCCAUUUAGUCAGGUGGUACUAUUCUUUUUAUUUAAAUGUAACUUGAUGUGUUAGUGUGUAAAUACAGUCUGUGGGGAUGAGAAGGAACCAGUUCUGCCCAGUUUGAUUUGACUAUUUAAAUUAUGGAGUUGCUGAAUAGAUAUUUCUAUAUAUAGAUAAUAUUAUUUAUGUGCUUUUCCUACUUUUUUGUUAAUAAUCAAACAGUGGCUGCCACAGAAUUCUUGAUAACUCUUUUAGUCAUAUUUAAAACAAUCUAUAACUUUAUCAAUCAGGUUAGGUAGUAAGUGGUGUUUUUUCCUUAAGGGAAACUUUAUUUUUAAUCCAAAGAAGGAAGAAAUUGAUAACUGUAACAGGAGAAGCUUCAUGUUUGAUGACACAAAUUUAAGAACACCUUAUAUUUUACUUACAGUGUUGGAAGUGACUUGACUGAAAGAUAAGAGGAGAUUGGAGGCAGGGUUGUCUUCUAGGGCACACAUCUUAGAUUUAACACAUAUUUUAUCACCAGCUAAAUCCUUCCCUUCUC